rnacentral:rRNA from 1 species
UGGCGGCGUGCAUAACACAUGCAAGUCGAACGAUGAAACUUAGCUGAUUUCUUCGGAAUGAAAAUAAGUGGAUUAGUGGCGAACGGGUGAGUAACACGUGAGUAACCUGCCUUACACAAGGGGAUAGCCUUUGGAAACGAAGAAUAAUACCCUAUAAAGUUAGUCAAUCGCAUGGUAGACUAACCAAAGAUUUAUCGGUGUAAGAUGGACUUGCGUCUGAUUAGCUAGUUGGUGAGAUAAAAGCCCACCAAGGCGACGAUCAGUAGCCGGCUUGAGAGAGUGUACGGCCACAUUGGGACUGAGACACGGCCCAAACUCCUACGGGAGGCAGCAGUGGGGAAUUUUGCACAAUGGGGGAAACCCUGAUGCAGCGACGCCGCGUGAUUUAGAAGGCCUUCGGGUUGUAAAAAUCUUUUUUAUGGGAUGAAAAUGACAGUACCAUAAGAAUAAGGUCCGGCUAAAUACGUGCCAGCAGCCGCGGUAAUACGUAUGGACCGAGCGUUGUCCGGAAUCAUUGGGCGUAAAGGGUACGUAGGCGGCCUAGUAAGUUAGAAGUGAAAUAAUAUAGCUCAACUAUAUAAAGCUUUUAAAACUGUUAGGCUUGAGAGAUGAAAGGGAAAGUGGAAUUCCUAGUGUAGCGGUGAAAUGCGCAGAUAUUAGGAAGAAUACCGGUGGCGAAGGCGACUUUCUGGUCAUCAUCUGACGCUGAGGUACGAAAGCGUGGGUAGCAAACAGGAUUAGAUACCCUGGUAGUCCACGCUGUAAACGAUGAGUGUUAGGUUCUCGGAAUAAUCUGGGAGCCGCAGCUAACGCAUUAAACACUCCGCCUGGGGAGUACGCACGCAAGUGUG